rnacentral:rRNA from 1 species
AGUGAACGCUGGCGGUAGGCCUAACACAUGCAAGUCGAACGGCAGCACAGUAAGAGCUUGCUCUUACGGGUGGCGAGUGGCGGACGGGUGAGGAAUACAUCGGAAUCUACUUUUUCGUGGGGGAUAACGUAGGGAAACUUACGCUAAUACCGCAUACGACCUACGGGUGAAAGCAGGGGAUCUUCGGACCUUGCGCGAUUGAAUGAGCCGAUGUCGGAUUAGCUAGUUGGCGGGGUAAAGGCCCACCAAGGCGACGAUCCGUAGCUGGUCUGAGAGGAUGAUCAGCCACACUGGAACUGAGACACGGUCCAGACUCCUACGGGAGGCAGCAGUGGGGAAUAUUGGACAAUGGGCGCAAGCCUGAUCCAGCCAUACCGCGUGGGUGAAGAAGGCCUUCGGGUUGUAAAGCCCUUUUGUUGGGAAAGAAAAGAAGCAGGUUAAUACCCCGAUGUUCUGACGGUACCCAAAGAAUAAGCACCGGCUAACUUCGUG